GUAUCGAAUACCUACACGGCGAUAUAACUCAUGUAACAAUACUGCCAAUCGUUUAAACAAAAUAGCGCGGAACAUGACUUUACUUGAAUGAGCGUAUCCCAAAUCGCGCGUAAACUAGUUCGCCAUCUUUACUUAUUUUCCGAACGAUGCAAGCGAAUGACAUUUGAAUAGUGGCAGAUUUUGAAUUGUUGGAGUUUACGUGAAAUUGUAAGAAUAAUGAAAGGCCGAGGAAAACUAAUGUUAGAGAUGCUGAACACUGAAAAAGAGGAACCUGAUCCGCCAGCAGCAUUGGAGAAGACUGUGAAGCUUGUCCCCGGGCAUGGUAAUAAACUCAUCACCGAGCCUUUUAGAAUCUUCGUCUUUCUUAAAUGUUGAUCAACGGCCUACACUGCAACCUGAACAACCUAUCCCCGACAGACUACGAAGAGCUCCUGAAGGUCAGUAUAUUGUCUUAUCACCAACCCAUAGCAACAAUGAAAAAAAUCAAAUUAGGAAAAGAAAUCCCUGCUCGCAAAUUGCAACCACCUUAUAGAGGAAAGUGCCGAUUGAAAUGUACUACCAAUCUCAACUUAAUAAUUCGUCAAAAGAUUUUUAAUGCAUUUUGGGAGCUCGGUGAUCUUCAGCGACAGAGAGAGUUCAUUGUGCGUCAUACCCACGAAAUAAAACCCAAGUACCGAUAUUCAAGCACACAAAACUAUCAGGCUCUCAAUACAGCCUUCUAUUUUGAAAAGAACAACUCACGCAUUCGUGUUUGCAAAAGUUUUUUAAGGCCACGCUUGACUUAGGGGAUCAAGUAAUUUAAACAGCUUUAAGUAAAAAGCCAGAGGCUGGAAUUAUAGAGGUUGAGAAUGAGGUUGGAAUUAAAGAGGAAAACAUAAAAAUUAUCCUACGGUAGAUCCUGCAAUUAAAGAAAGCGUUGUUCAAUUUAUUAAUUCGAUUCUGGGGGUAGAAUCACACUAUCUUCGAGCUCAAACUACACGCGAAUACAUUCAAAGCGAAAGGUUUGGCUUUACGCCAAGCUAAUAACUUGUCUUUUGCUUCUGAAUCGACCUUUCAACGCAUAUUUAAUUUUCAAUUUAUUAUUGGUUUCUUUAGCCCAAAAAAAGACUUGUGUGACUUGUGCGAGAGUUAUAAGAAUGCAGAUCCUGAAAACAAAUUUAAAUUAUAGCCAACUUAGCGCGAAGUGAGAAAGAAAAGGACAAGAAAGAAUCAGAUGCCAUAGUUGUAGUUUACGAUCUCCAAGCAGUUAUGCAAAUUCCCAAAGGACAAGUGUCUUCGUUCUUUUACAAGUCUAGAAUAAAUUGUUUUAAUUUUACUAUCAGUGAUUUGCAUGCUAAGAACGUAGACUGCUUUUUUUGGAUGAGACCGAAGGGAAGCGUGGUGCAAUAGAAAUUGGUACCUGUGUUUUAGCUUUUAUAGAAAUGCAGCUAAAUAUCUAUUCUAAUGCAGAUAUAGAUUUGAUAUUUUAUUCAGAUUACUGUUGUGGGCAACAGAAAAAUGAGUAUUUAUUGUCUGCUUAUAUAUAGUCUAUAACACAUAAGUUUUUAAUUAGAGGACACUCUCAAAACGAAGGAGACUAUGUGCACAGUGUUAUAGAGAAGCAAGUGAAAAGGCAUAUAAAAUCAGGCCCUAUUUACACACCACAGCAGUAUAUAACACUAGUUCGGACUGCCAAAAAAACCGGACCAGCAUACAAAGUGCAUGAAAUGACACAUGACCGCUUUUAUGAUUUAAAAACGUUGCAAGAAAGUUGGGGUACGAACUUCAAUACAGAUGAAGAUAACAAUCAAGUCAAGUGGCACGAUAUAAAAGUCCUGAAAGUUGAAAAGGAGUCCCAUGGCCUUUUUAUAUAAAACAUCUUUUGCAAAGACUGAAUUAAAAAAAUGCUGGGUGAACAAGAGGAAGACUAGGCGUACAACAGAAUCUACGCGUGACAACA